rnacentral:rRNA from 1 species
CCUACGGGUGGCAGCAGUAGGGAAUAUUGCUCAAUGGGGGAAACCCUGAAGCAGCAACGCCGCGUGGAGGAUGAAGGUUUUCGGAUUGUAAACUCCUUUUGUUAGAGAAGAGAAUGACGGUAUCUAACGAAUAAGCACCGGCGAACGCCGUGCCAGCAGCCGCGGGAAUACGGAGGGUGCAAGCGUUACGCGGAAUCACUGGGCGUACAGAGCGCGGAGGCGGGAUUUCAAGUCAGAUGUGAAAUCCUAGGGCUUAACCCUAGAACUGCAUUUGAAACUGUUAUUCUAGAGUCUGGGAGCGGUAGGUGUCAUUCUUGGUGUAGUGGUCACAUCCGUAGAGAUCACG